GCGCGUCGGAGGUACCGGGGGCGGAAGUGCUCUCGGCGGAAGUGAUCGCUGCGUGACUCGUGGGCGGGAUGGCCGUGGGCCGGCUCUAUCUAAGGCUGCUGCGAGCACCCUGCAAGUCCGUGGCUCAGAGCCCACUCGGGGGCAUGCCCCCCUCCAGGGGUCUACGCGCGGGGCGCGGGCCCCGAAGGCUCUCCAUCGAAGGCAACAUUGCCAAAUCAGAAACAUGGAAAGGAAUGAGACGGGAAGGUCCUGCUACCUGCCUGAGGGUGUUAUUUCAAGGUGUUCUGUCCUGUACUUUGGGAACAGCAAAGGAAGCUCUGUCCUCAGAGCCCAGAGAGGAACAAAGCACUUCACCAACUGUGGGGAAGUCCACCUUUGUGAAGCUACUCGCGAAAACCUACCCAGAGUGGCACGUAGCUACAGAACCCGUAGCGACAUGGCAGAAUGUCCAGGCUGCUGGAACCCAAAAAGCCGGCACAACUCCAAAUCUCGGAAACUUGCUGGAUAUGAUGUACCAGAAGCCGGCACGAUGGUCCUACACAUUCCAGACAUUUUCUUUUAUGAGCCGCCUGAAAGUACAGUUGGAGCCCUUACCUGAGAAACUCUUAGAGGCCAACAAGGCGGUACAGAUCUUUGAGAGGUCUGUGUACAGUGACAGGUAUAUCUUUGCAAAGAAUCUUUUUGAGAACGGUUCCCUCAGUGACAUGGAAUGGCAUAUCUAUCAGGACUGGCAUUCUUUUCUCCUGCAGGAGUUUGCCAGUCGGCUCGGAUUGCAUGGCUUCAUCUACCUCCAGGCUACUCCCCAGGUUUGCUUGAAGAGACUGCGCCGGAGGGCCAGGGAGGAGGAGAAGGGAAUUGAGCUGGCCUAUCUCGAGCAGCUUCAUGGUCAACACGAAGCCUGGCUUGUCCACAAGACAACCCCCCUUGGUGUGCUGUCCGCUUAAAAUGUCUGGGGCUCUGACCUUCAGUAGAAGUCUCAAGACUAAAGCGAAAUCUCAGCCUCAUCUUUCCAUCCAACUUUAUUGAAUUCUUUUUCUAAACUGCUGUUUACAUGAAAUUUCAUUGGGAAGCCGUGUGACCUUAGAUCUCUCCUCUGAGUUAGUAAGACUUGGUAGACACCUUUGUAGAGAAUCUGGAACCAAUACCAUGAUGUUCUAGUUGUGACCUGGGCUCUCUGACUUUCUGAAGCCAGACGGAUACAGAGUCACCCACCUUCCCACCCGCACUCCCAUGUCCGUUUACCCCCAGAGCGCCCUCAGCGGUUGUCAGCGGCAGCGCCUAGUGCAGCUGUGUUUCUGUCAUCCUUAGACCCAGCCCCAUCUUCUUUUGUAUUUCAAGGACUUCUUACAGUCUGAGUGUUGGUUAUCUUGCUAA